rnacentral:lncRNA from 1 species
CCCAUUCUUCCCCCAGAGACAGAAAUCAAUUUCUAGGUGCUAAAUGAGGCACUGCUGUUGUUUGGGUCUUUCCUGUACCUUCUACGCAUGGAUUCUAACCAAUAGAGAGGCCAGAGGAAAACCAACAGGGCUAACGGAAUACAAACGACGGGGCAAAUCCUGCAAGCCAUGGUGGUCAGUAUCCCCCCAAGGUCACAGCGCAUGGACUACAUUAAAAGACUCAUGAGAGGCUGGGAAGAUGGCUCAGCAGUUAGGAGCACAUGCUAUUCUUGCAGAAGACCCAGGUCCAGUUCCUGGUACUGGUCUGCAGUUCAUAAUCGCCUGUAACUCCAUCUCCGAGGAAUCUGAGGCCAGCUUUUCCAGCUCCUGGUACCACUGGUGCUCAACAAACAUCACAUCCAGAGACUCUGUGAAUGGGCAAAGGAACAGCUGGAAUUCACUAUGCUUCUUUCCCAUGUUUCCUUCUUCCAUCCAAAGAGGAACAUCUGUACAGAAGAACUAGUUUACAGCCUCCAUGUAGUACACCUUUCAAACUAUUAACAGCAUUUCAGCAGAGAACACUCUAUCCCUGAGCAGUGCAGUAAGGGGCUAAUGAUAUAUCAAUAAAACUCUGGCGCAGCCUUCUGCUUAUUGAGGCAAGUGCUGGAGUUCCUCAAAGACUGCCAGACUCAGCUGCAUCAUAUGCUGAGUUUCUUCUUUUGGAAAAUGUUUCCAUUUUCUCUCAGGUACUAUGUACCUGUACUGAGUCUGUCUGUUCCUGAUCUCCCUUUUUAUUCUAGCACUUACAUUUUCAUAACGACUCACAUUCUUUUCUAUUCUGUUCCACUUUUGUUUUUUUUGUUUUUUUUUUUGUUUUGGUUUGGUUUUGGUUUUUUUUUUUUUUUUUUUUUGCUUUUGUUUUUGUUUUUGUCUUUUGGUGGACACAGGAAAUCAAAGCCAGGACCUCACAUAGGCUAGGCAACUCACAGAGCAACACUCCCAAACUCUUCCCUGAUUCUGUCUUAGCCUGUUACCCAGAGGACAUAAAUUAACACAUUCAUUAUCCCAUUAUACAAUUUCAAGAUUUACCAAAAUUUGGCUAUCACAUAUUGCCAAAUAAACCAUAAGAACGACUACCUAA